CAGAUUGCGGCAUGCUCACUAUGCAGUCGAGCGGUAAGGCCCUUCGGGGUACACGAGCGGCGAACGGGUGAGUAACACGUGAGCAACCUGCCCCUGACUCCGGGAUAAGCGGUGGAAACGCCGUCUAAUACCGGAUACGACCCUCCACCUCAUGGUGGUGGGUGGAAAGUUUUUCGGUCAGGGAUGGGCUCGCGGCCUAUCAGCUUGUUGGUGGGGUAACGGCCUACCAAGGCGAUUACGGGUAGCCGGCCUGAGAGGGCGACCGGCCACACUGGGACUGAGACACGGCCCAGACUCCUGCGGGAGGCAGCAGUGGGGAAUAUUGCGCAAUGGGCGAAAGCCUGACGCAGCGACGCCGCGUGGGGGAUGACGGCCUUCGGGUUGUAAACCUCUUUUACCACCAACGCAGGCUUCCGGUUCUCCGGGGGUUGACGGUAGGUGGGGAAUAAGGACCGGCUAACUACGUGCCAGCAGCCGCGGUAAUACGUAGGGUCCGAGCGUUGUCCGGAAUUAUUGGGCGUAAAGAGCUCGUAGGCGGCGUGUCGCGUCUGCUGUGAAAGACCGGGGCUUAACUCCGGUUCUGCAGUGGAUACGGGCAUGCUAGAGGUAGGUAGGGGAGACUGGAAUUCCUGGUGUAGCGGUGAAAUGCGCAGAUAUCAGGAGGAACACCGGUGGCGAAGGCGGGUCUCUGGGCCUUACCUGACGCUGAGGAGCGAAAGCAUGGGGAGCGAACAGGAUUAGAUACCCUGGUAGUCCAUGCCGUAAACGUUGGGCGCUAGGUGUGGGGACUUUCCACGGUUUCCGCGCCGUAGCUAACGCAUUAAGCGCCCCGCCUGGGGAGUACGGCCGCAAGGCUAAAACUCAAAGGAAUUGACGGGGGCCCGCACAAGCGGCGGAGCAUGUUGCUUAAUUCGACGCAACGCGAAGAACCUUACCAAGGUUUGACAUCACCCGUGGACUCGCAGAGAUGUGAGGUCAUUUAGUUGGCGGGUGACAGGUG
rnacentral:rRNA from 1 species